ACCUGGGAAUCGAACCCAGGACCUUCUCACUGUGAGGCGACAGAGCUACCCACCGAGCCAUUGUGCUGCCCCCAUCAACACUGCUGCUAGAAAUCUGAACUGACAGGUAGCCGCUGGUACCGUAGCUGAAGAAAGAAGAGGGUCGGUCAGGACCUGGUACUGAGUGGAAUGUCAGGACACUGAAGAGGGAUCAGCACCCUAAGAAACAAUCUGAGGCGGUCACUGAGAGAAUGUCAA